GACGAACCGCCCAAACGUUAUUCGGAAUCACUGGGCUUACAGAGUUCGUAGGCGGUCUGGAAAGUUGGGUGUGAAAUCCCUCGGCCUAACCGAGGAACUGCGCUUGAAACUACCAGACUCGAGGGGGAUAGAGGAAAGCGGAACUGAUGGUGGAGCGGUGAAAUGCGUUGAUAUCAUCAGGAACACCGGUGGCGAAGGCGGCUUUCUGGGUCUUACCUGACGCUGAGGAACGAAAGCCAGGGGAGCGAACGGG
rnacentral:rRNA from 1 species